rnacentral:tRNA from 1 species
AAGAAUGAAGUAUAGAUUUUUACAUUUCAGUUACAUUGAAAAAAGCCACAACAUUUGGUGUUCUUA